rnacentral:rRNA from 1 species
UACGGGGGGGGGCAAGCGUUGUUCGGAAUUACUGGGCGUAAAGGGCUCGUAGGCGGCCAACUAAGUCGGACGUGAAAUCCCUCAGCUUAACUGGGGAACUGCGUCCGAUACUGGAUGGCUUGGAUUUGGGAGAGGGAUGCGGAAUUCCAGGUGUAGCGGUGAAAUGCGUAGAUAUCUGGAGGAACACCGGUGGCGAAGGCGGCAUCCUGGACCAACAUUGACGCUGAGGAGCGAAAGCUAGGGGAGCAAACGGGG